UACGGGGGGGGCAAGCGUUGUUCGGAAUUACUGGGCGUAAAGGGCUCGUAGGCGGCCAACUAAGUCAGACGUGAAAUCCCUCGGCUUAACCGGGGAACUGCAUCUGAUACUGGAUGGCUUGAGUUCGGGAGAGGGAUGCGGAAUUCCAGGUGUAGCGGUGAAAUGCGUAGAUAUCAGGAGGAACACCGAUGGCGAAGGCAGUGAUCUGGGCCGGUACUGACGCUGAGGAGCGAAAGCGUGGGUAGCAAACAGG
rnacentral:rRNA from 1 species